AAGAGACAGGUGAAUCAUCGAAUCUUUGAACGCAUAUUGCACCUUAGAGAAUUCUUUAAGGUAUACCUGUUCGAGCGUCGUUUAGAACAAUAAAGCUUUGCUUUGUUUUGGAUUCUGAUUUCGCUUUUUGAAAUCAAUCUCCCAACCACAUUGGCGUUAUUCUGAUCUUGUCAUUAUGCAGUGAAAAUGUAUAGCGACACUAUUGAAUUGGCGCCUAAAAACAGUUUGCAAAAAACUCCAUGUUCGACCUCGAAUCAAGUAAGACUACCCGCUGAACUUAAGCAUAUCAAUAAGCGGAGG
rnacentral:misc_RNA from 1 species